AAGUCGUAACAAGGUCUCCGUAGGUGAACCUGCGGAGGGAUCAUUAACACGUUUUCUAACGUUUAUUAUACCAACCAACCGCGUGAAUUCAACUGAAUCAAUUAUACCCGACUUGAAAGAGAGAGAAACUGUCUAUUUACACGGAGUGAUGAGUGUGUUUGAAUUUUUACAUGUGAAAGCAUGUAUUUUGAAACAUACGGUGUAUCUAGGCUUGUAAUGCUUCGACAUUACGGGAUUAUUUCUCUUUCAAGCUAUCAACAAAUCCAAUGUUCCCUUCAUCUCUGGAACGAAAACACCCCU
rnacentral:misc_RNA from 1 species